rnacentral:tRNA from 1 species
GUGGCUCAGUAGUAGAGUGCUUGCCUUGCAUGCAUGAGACCCUGGGUUCAAUUCCUCAGC